rnacentral:rRNA from 1 species
UACGAAGGGGGCUAGCGUUGCUCGGAAUCACUGGGCGUAAAGCGCACGUAGGCGGCUUUCUAAGUCAGGGGUGAAAUCCUGGAGCUCAACUCCAGAACUGCCUUUGAUACUGGAGAGCUUGAGUCCGGAAGAGGUGAGUGGAACUCCGAGUGUAGAGGUGAAAUUCGUAGAUAUUCGGAAGAACACCAUUGGCGAAGGCGGCUCACUGGUCCGGUACUGACGCUGAGGUGCGAAAGCGUGGGGAGCAAACAGG